AAAAUGGCCCGGCCAAUAGUGAGUCCAACUUAGUGAUUAGGUAUGCGGGGUCUUCAGCAGGGAAGAGAGCUGAGGCCCUUGAUGAAAUAUAGGUUGAUGGGAAACCUGCAGAAGACAAAGUGGGAGAAGCAAUCGUUAAGCUCACCGGUGUGGUGCUGGCCGAAGGCUCUCCGAUGCUAAGUCAGUUACAAGUAGUAAUUCUGGCAGAGUAACAGUAAAAGUGGGAGAAUAGUUGUCCUUUUUACCUGGGUAAUGUUCCCUAUUUAUAGGGAAGUGAAAGUAGGAGCUUUGCACAAAGUUCCAAUGUGGGACUUUGUGUAAGCCGUUGUGGUGGCGACACGUGUCCUGGAGAUUAGGUUUGGCAGCUGGGAGCUUCGGUAGGUGUCUGGCACCUCGGAAGUGUGUCUUCCUUCGGCACAGGAGAAGGCGUGGCUGCCUUGGUGCUAGUCACUUUGGUGCUGGGUCUGCUCGGUUCAUUAUGGUGUAAACAGUAGUCCCCCAAGUUCGCGAUGGAAAAGUAACUUCUGGGUUGGGAACUUGUGAGUUUUGUAAUUGUAACCGAGCAUUCCAGCUUCGUUGGGAGUCGUAGGGCACUCCCUAGUCCCCCAAGUUGACAAGCUAGGAGUUGCGUCAACACAUGGUAGCUGGGUACCUGGGUACUUGGGCAUGUUGCAGAUAAGAUGGGAGCUGGGUCAGUAGGGGAGCCAGACCUUCGAAGGAGCCAGGUCUUGUGGAAAAUUUCGGAGACUCCAAUUCUUCCAUGGCUCUUGCCGUUCGGCAAGGGUCUAGCUCCCUUUUUUGUUUUUUUUUUGUUUUGUUUUUUUUUUUGUGAAUGGCCGGGCCAUUUGGAAAUUUUGGACUCUCCAUAGUUCCUCCAUGGCCCUUGCCGUUCGGCAAGGGUCUGGCCAAAAUUUUUUUUUUUUAGUGUGGGGCUUGAAGGCUUUCUUGGAUUGGGCCUUCGGCAAGUAAGAAGGGCUUGAGGUGGGCUUCGGCAAGUAGGGUUUUGGAGGAGGGGGAGUAUAAAAAUUGGGGAUUAGCCAUCAUGCCGUUCAGCAAGUUCCAUUCGGCACCUGGGAGUAGAACAAAAUUCUUGGAAAUUUCAUCUUGCCGUUCGGCAAGUCUUGGCAAAGCUACUUCGGCAAGUCUUGGCAA
rnacentral:lncRNA from 1 species